rnacentral:rRNA from 1 species
UACGUAGGGCGCAAGCGUUGUCCGGAAUUAUUGGGCGUAAAGAGCUCGUAGGCGGUUUGUCGCGUCUGCUGUGAAAACUCGGGGCUCAACUCCGAGCUUGCAGUGGGUACGGGCAGACUAGAGUGCGGUAGGGGAGACUGGAAUUCCUGGUGUAGCGGUGGAAUGCGCAGAUAUCAGGAGGAACACCAGUGGCGAAGGCGACCACCUGGACUGAUACUGACACUGAGGUGCGAAAGCG